UUUUUUAAAAAAAAGCCACCGUUGCCUAAAGGGUAGUCAACGCUAGUCCAAAAUUUUUCACGCUCUCCCUCUCAAACUCUCGCCCUAACUUCCAUCUCCCUCUCAAUUUUUUCAAUCCUCUCUCGCCCUAACUUCCAUCUCCCUCUCAAUUUUUUCAAUCCCUCUCAAACUUUCGCCCUAACUUCCAUCUCCCUCUCAAUUUUUUCCUCUCCCUCUCAAACUCUCUAUUUCUUCUCUCUCCUCCAUCACUGCUUCUUUCUCUCUCAGAUGUUCCGACUAUGGCCGGUGCUUUCCUCAGGGCUAAAGCCCAGCCACCCUUGCCCAUCCCUCAGCCGCGGCGAGCUUCGAAAGGUCGCCUUUGGUGCAUGAGAAACCUUCAAAUUUUAGUAGAGUCUUUCUAGUUUCUCUACUGGACACCUUUGGUGCGAUGCCAAAAGCCAAUCUGAGUCUGGAUCUCGUUUUUCUUCCUAUUUGUUCCUAUAAAUGUUAAAUCUGCUUCUUCAGAGUUCAAAUCGUGCUCUGCGUGUUGCUCUCUCUCUCUCCCUCAAUCUCUCUCUUUAAUCUGGAAACUUCUUAGCUGCUCAAGACCUCUAAGGUAUUUUCUUUUUGUUCUCUCACUCGGUGACUCUGGAUUUGGGGUUUCAAAAGCUAAGCAAUGGAAGGGCAGAUUAGGGUUUCCAAAAUUGAGAGAAUGAUGGAAUUGGAUUUUGAUUGGUUUGACCCACUACUCCGGCGUCGACUUUUUGGUUGAUCGAAUGCAUCUUCGAUGCUUUUUCUUACUCGCUCUCACGACUUCUUAGGCUUUCCUAUUGUGUGUAUUUAACUGGUUCAUAUGAUGCUGUUUCUUCAGGACUUCAUUCAGAACUUGGCAUUGUUUCUCACUUCAUU